GAUGAACGCUGGCGGCGUGCCUAAUACAUGCAAGUCGAGCGAACAGAUAAGGAGCUUGCUCCUUUGACGUUAGCGGCGGACGGGUGAGUAACACGUGGGUAACCUACCUAUAAGACUGGGAUAACUUCGGGAAACCGGAGCUAAUACCGGAUAAUAUUUCGAACCGCAUGGUUCGAUAGUGAAAGAUGGUUUUGCUAUCACUUAUAGAUGGACCCGCGCCGUAUUAGCUAGUUGGUAAGGUAACGGCUUACCAAGGCGACGAUACGUAGCCGACCUGAGAGGGUGAUCGGCCACACUGGAACUGAGACACGGUCCAGACUCCUGCGGGAGGCAGCAGUAGGGAAUCUUCCGCAGUGGGCGAAAGCCUGACGGAGCAACGCCGCGUGAGUGAUGAAGGUCUUCGGAUCGUAAAACUCUGUUAUUAGGGAAGAACAUACGUGGAAGUAAAUGUGCACGUCUUGACGGUACCUAAUCAGAAAGCCACGGCUAACUACGUG
rnacentral:rRNA from 1 species